UACGUAGGGUGCAAGCGUUAAUCGGAAUUACUGGGCGUAAAGCGUGCGCAGGCGGUUUUGUAAGUCUGACGUGAAAUCCCCGGGCUCAACCUGGGAAUUGCGUUGGAGACUGCAAGGCUAGAGUGUGUCAGAGGGGAGUAGAAUUCCACGUGUAGCAGUGAAAUGCGUAGAGAUGUGGAGGAACACCGAUGGCGAAGGCAGCCCCCUGGGUCAAGAUUGACGCUCAUGCACGAAAGCGUGGGGAGCAAACAGG
rnacentral:rRNA from 1 species